rnacentral:tRNA from 1 species
GGGAUAUAGCUCAAUUGGUAGAGUGCUUGCCUUGCAUGCACAAGGCCAAGGCCCUGAGUUCAAUCCCCAGCACACA